GACGAACGCUGGCGGCGUGCUUAACACAUGCAAGUCGAACGGAAAGGCCCCUUUGGGGGAACUCGAGUGGCGAACGGGUGAGUAACACGUGAGUAACCUGCCCUUGACUUCGGGAUAACUUCAGGAAACUGGGGCUAAUACCGGAUAGGAAUCCUUGCUGCAUGGUGGGGGUUGGAAAGCUUCGGCGGUUUUGGAUGGACUCGCGGCUUAUCAGCUUGUCGGUGGGGUAGUGGCUUACCAAGGCUUUGACGGGUAGCCGGCCUGAGAGGGCGACCGGCCACAUUGGGACUGAGAUACGGCCCAGACUCCUACGGGAGGCAGCAGUGGGGAAUAUUGCACAAUGGGCGGAAGCCUGAUGCAGCAACGCCGCGUGCGGGAUGACGGCCUUCGGGUUGUAAACCGCUUUCAGCAGGGGCGAAGCUUGUGGUGACGGUACCUGCAGAAGAAGCACCGGCUAACUACGUG
rnacentral:rRNA from 1 species